GUUCCUGGCUCAGGAUGAACGCUAGCUACAGGCUUAACACAUGCAAGUCGAGGGGAAGCGACAUCGAAAGCUUGCUUUUGAUGGGCGUCGACCGGCGCACGGGUGAGUAACGCGUAUCCAACCUGCCCACCACUUGGGGAUAACCUUGCGAAAGUAAGACUAAUACCCAAUGACAUCCCACGAAGACAUCUGAAUGGGAUUAAAGAUUUAUCGGUGAUGGAUGGGGAUGCGUCUGAUUAG
rnacentral:rRNA from 1 species